rnacentral:rRNA from 1 species
CUCGUGUCGUGAGAUGGUUAGGUUACGGUACCGUAACGAGCGACACCCUUGUCCUUAGUUACCAGCACGUUAUGGUGGGCACUCUAAGGAGACUGCCGGUGACAAACCGGAGGAAGGUGGGGAGUGACGUCAAGUCAUCAUGGCCCUUACGGCCUGGGCUACACACGUGCUACAAUGGUCGGUACAAAGGGUUGCCAAGCCGCGAGGUGGAGCUAAUCCCAUAAAACCGAUCGUAGUCCGGAUCGCAGUCUGCAACUCGACUGCGUGAAGUCGGAAUCGCUAGUAAUCGUGAAUCAGAAUGUCACGGUGAAUACGUUCCCGGGCCUU